rnacentral:rRNA from 2 species
GGAUCCAGACUUUGAUUAUGGCUCAGGAUGAACGCUAGCUACAGGCUUAACACAUGCAAGUCGAGGGGCAGCAUGGUCUUAGCUUGCUAAGGCCGAUGGCGACCGGCGCACGGGUGAGUAACACGUAUCCAACCUGCCGUCUACUCUUGGACAGCCUUCUGAAAGGAAGAUUAAUACAAGAUGGCAUCAUGAGUCCGCAUGUUCACAUGAUUAAAGGUAUUCCGGUAGACGAUGGGGAUGCGUUCCAUUAGAUAGUAGGCGGGGUAACGGCCCACCUAGUCUUCGAUGGAUAGGGGUUCUGAGAGGAAGGUCCCCCACAUUGGAACUGAGACACGGUCCAAACUCCUACGGGAGGCAGCAGUGAGGAAUAUUGGUCAAUGGGCGAGAGCCUGAACCAGCCAAGUAGCGUGAAGGAUGACUGCCCUAUGGGUUGUAAACUUCUUUUAUAAAGGAAUAAAGUCGGGUAUGCAUACCCGUUUGCAUGUACUUUAUGAAUAAGGAUCGGCUAACUCCGUGCCAGCAGCCGCGGUAAUACGGAGGAUCCGAGCGUUAUCCGGAUUUAUUGGGUUUAAAGGGAGCGUAGAUGGAUGUUUAAGUCAGUUGUGAAAGUUUGCGGCUCAACCGUAAAAUUGCAGUUGAUACUGGAUAUCUUGAGUGCAGUUGAGGCAGGCGGAAUUCGUGGUGUAGCGGUGAAAUGCUUAGAUAUCACGAAGAACUCCGAUUGCGAAGGCAGCCUGCUAAGCUGCAACUGACAUUGAGGCUCGAAAGUGUGGGUAUCAAACAGGAUUAGAUACCCUGGUAGUCCACACGGUAAACGAUGAAUACUCGCUGUUUGCGAUAUACAGCAAGCGGCCAAGCGAAAGCGUUAAGUAUUCCACCUGGGGAGUACGCCGGCAACGGUGCAACUCAAAGGAAUUGACGG